GCCUUGCUAUCUUUUUAACUGUGAUAGAGAUUCUUUGCCUUUUGUUUCUGACAGAGCAAAGAAUCUGUAUCAGAGAAAAAGGAUAGUAAGGC
rnacentral:pre_miRNA from 1 species